CCCUCCAAUUUUUUUGGAUACCCUUUAUCGUUUCCCUCCCAACUAGAAUAAUCAUAGACCUAAUUUCGUUUCCCUCUCCAGUUGUAUCGCUGCAUCGUUUCCCUCCCAAUUAGAAAACAAUUGAACUGAUUUUGUUUCCCUCCCCAGUUGAAUCGCUGCCAAAAAAAGAAACUAUCUAGCUGCUGCGUCAAAAAAACCUAACACGCUGCUGUGUCAACUCCACUGCGUCAACGGUAGUGCGAUUUACAGUGCGUAAACAGCAGUGGCCAUCUUCUUCCUAGGGCUUGAUAACCAAGUCAUUGGUUCUUCACAUAUCUGGUAGAGAGGUUGCGUCUUCUAGGUAGACUGUUUUCACUUAGUGUUUCAUGAUGUUGAAUCCGUUCAUAGUGGGCAUUGCAAGAUAUUAUGCAGAGGCUAGUUCUUCUGGGCAAAUGAUGCUGAAAGGGCAUUGCUGAAGUAUUUCUGAUUGAAAGGAAGAAAAAAAGAAUAACAAGAGGAACCAUCUUCUCUGAUGGCUAUUGUGUCUUCAUCUGCAGACAAGCUGUUUGGACAAAGACAGACAUAUUUCCUUUCAGUAUCCCCGUAGUUCUGCGGCUCUGGCAACAAUACAGCAGCUGCAAGUCAAAAUUGCUGCAGAAGAAGCUGGUACAGGAGAAAAAUCAGCUUAUGAUUCAUUCUCCUAUGAUGACAUUCCUACGACUUCAUUGCCUCGAAUAAUACGGUGAAGUUACCCAUUUCUGGUCUCUUUUCUGCACUGUGUUUCUAUUUUGUCAUGUGUAUUGCCUUUAUUGUGUUUCUCUUUAUGCAAUGCUCUUUUUACCUAGUUGUACAAGAAAUUAUCAGUACUAUUGUUGUUGCCACCGAUAUUUCCAACAUUGUCCAGCAUUGUGUUAACUCUUCCUCCCUGCACCUAUUUGCAUUCACUUUAUUGCUUAUUUAAGCCUGUGCCACUAGGUAGAUUUGGCUCUUUAGCUCAUUUCAGCAUUCAGGGCCAUACUGCUCUAGCAAAAGUUACUGAUAGAUCCCCAAAAUUGUACUGGUGUAUAUCUACCUUGUUAGAGCAGGAUUAACUUUUCCCCUUAUAUUCCCAGCAAGUUUUGUGCAUGUUUGAUAGAUCUUGUCAUUCUUACCCAUCUUUGCUAACUUCACUCAUUUGUAAUUGAUUCAACAUAUUCAACCGGUAAAGCCUGUGGAUCCAUCUUGUUUCCCAAUGUGAAUGCAGUGAUGAAACUCAAUAUCAUAAAAAUGCUAAAUAUCGAACCAUGCUCUCUGUGGUUUUGAGUAAAUGAAGCAAAGAUACAAGUGCAGUUUCUGAUGAAAAGAGAGUUUCAUACUCGGAGUCUCAAUAAGCCUGGUACUGAUGCAUCACCCUCCUCUAAACUUUCAAUGAAGAAAGGCAAUAUCACAUCCACAACUUCAGGCCUCUUAAUUGAAAAUUUGAGAUCAGCUAGUAACCUUAUAAAGUUCAACUGCAGGGAAGGAGCUGCCUGCUUUUCUUUCUCUACCUGGAAAUGUAAGUAUUUGCAGAUAAUAUUAACAAAAAGAAGACAUAAAGAAACACUAAAAGAAUUAAGCCAUAUGUCCCUUUCGAGAAAUGCAAAUACAUAUGAGCCUCUUAGGUGGCCUGCUACCAAAACUGUAAGAUAUCCCCACCUUGGAAUAAACAUAUAAGAUUCUACUUUGUCACAGGGCAAUCAGAAAGAUGCUUGUUUAUUGGCACAAGUAUGCAUUAGCCAAUCAAACAGUGGAUUUUAAACCUCUACCAAAUCUGUAAGAUAUCCCCAUCUUGGAAUAAACAUAUAAGAUUCUACUUUGUCACAGGGCAAUCAGAAAGAUGCUUGUUUAUUGGCACAAGUAUGCAUCAACUUUUGGCAAAAGCUGCAACAACUGGACAUUGUUCCUAGUAAAUUUCUUUUGCAUUGAAGAUGCUGGGACUGGAAUGUUGAAUAACUACUGUAAUAGCAGUUAUAUCUCUUGAUCAUUGAUUGCUAGAGACCAACUUCCCAUGCAGUUGCACAAGUGCAAAUACAUGGCUCUAUGCCGUCAUGUCUCAUAUUCCAGCAUGUCAGAAUAAUGUAAGUUAUCAACAGGUUUUAACCUACCUUAGAUAGAUAAAGAGCUUGGAGUUUCCUUCUUGACACUAGCACUACUAGAUACUUAAGAUUUGUGCUAUUCAUUUACAAAUGCUUAACUUGGCGCUUAACUUUACAAAUGCUUAACUUAGCUCUGUUGUCUUUAUCUCUUUUCCUCGUGCUUGGAAUUUUUUAACAGUAGCUCUUUGUGCCUAUUGAAAACAUAGUAUUAGGUUGUAUAGCUGAAUUCACAGCCUUGUACAACCUCGAGAGUGCUGUAGUAGCAGGUACAUCACCCUUAGCUACUGGUUUUACUGAUUUAAAAGAUCUGCACCUUCCUUAUGUUGUCGCAGAUUUCCAUCCUGCUCCUUAACAACCUAUGUUCCCCCCAAAUUUUGAGUAACAGCUGUAGCAGCCAAAUUUUGAGUAACAACUGCAAUCAAAUCUGUUCUACUUGUUGAUUUAUGAUUCGUGAAAUCUGGAACAUUUUGUUUGGUUGUGUAACUUGUAUCUCUCUGGUACAUUGAUGUUCAAAUAAUAGCUGAAGCUUGACCAGGUUCUUCGUUAUGUUAAGAUUUGGAUUCUUCGUUAUGCAUGAUCAAAAGAAUGUAGUUGUUUCUGCUUAUAGAUGUUAGCGUAUUUGUUGUAGAUACAAAGGGCAGAGCUUGCUUAAGACGAUUCUAUUUCUAGACCAAAGUAAUCCUUGAGUAUUUGCUUCGAAGUUCUUCCAAAUCCAUUUUGCACUUGUUUCAUGUCCUUCAGUUUCGAAAUUUCUCGCUUUAUUUGGUCUACUCUUUUCAGGACAACAUCAAGUAAGGUAUCUGUUUCAACCAUUGAUGUAUGGCUUGAUAGAUCUGAUCUUUUCUUGUCAAGCUGUUCGUAUAGAUUCAUGAUAUAGUUCUUUUGAGCAAAAAGCUUUUCCUCAGCAAGUCUGUACUCAAAUUCUUGAGACUUCCUCAAUGCCUGCAGUGUUUGACUGACAAAGUAUCUAACGGUGAUGGAAUCUUCAAGAUGUUUUUUCAAUAUUAUACUUUAUCCUUUAACACAAUUAUUUUAUAAUUUCAGGUCAUACAGUUUGAUGUUCGAUAAUUUAGCAGUUGAAAGAUUUCAAAAUGAUGAGAAGUUGCGGAAAUCAUUUAAAGACCAUCAUUCUGGAUUAUUACUAUGAUGACAUUAGCUAUUUAGUCCAAAGAAUAUAUUUUUAUGUUUUAAGUUACGAUGAUAUUAAUAUUUCGAUUAGUACUUCCUUUUGUUUGUUAAGAUUUAAUGAGAUAUAUUAUAUUCUUUUGAAUUAAUAUUAAUAUAUUUUAUUAUUUA